rnacentral:lncRNA from 1 species
CACCAUUUGAAAUCAAUAUCUAUAGAAGAUAUAUUAAACUUCACUAGAAAAAAUGCCAGUAAAUAGAGCCAAUUAUCAGAUUUUUUUUUUAUAUUCAUGAAAUAGGAAUAGUCAUUGUCAAGAUAAGCAAUCCAUUAAAUGAAUGAAUGAUUUGUCUAGUAGCUGGAAAGAUUUAAUCUUUAGAGCAAGGGAAAUCUAUAAAAGCUGUGAAAUCAACAAUAUAUGCUGACCACAGAAAUUCAUUACUUUUAGGGAGACAGCUAUUCCACAAAGUGAUCAGCCUCCCUACAAGCAUCUCAGUUCCCUCUAUAAACAUAAAUUAUGUAAUUUCAGCAUGAGAUGUUUAUGAUGUCACUAAAGUGUGUUCUAGAAUAGGAGAUAAAGUAACUGGCUACAAAAAAUAAUGAACCCUAUUUGUGACGUGGCCAAGGGUGGAAAGCAGAUAAAAAAUGAUGAGACCUAUUCAUUCGGCUUUUACUCACAUGAAAAGGGGAAAAAAAUAUGGCAAAAAAGUUACUCCUCAGAAGCACCCAAAAUUUCAGCACUGAAAGUGUAUGACAAACACCUUGAAAGGAAAAUGGAAUAUAAGCUCCUUACUCCCCCACAGCAAAGGUAUUUUCUCAAAAAAAAUCACCUUAAUGUAGACCAACAUGUUUUACCUCACAUUUGUUGGGAGGAUGCACACAGUUCCUGCUGCUUAGAUGGAACAUAGCAAUUUGAAAAGUUGGGAUCAUCCACACGAUAUACCUCUUUUUCUGUAAAUGCACUUGUUUGCUAAACAUUUUCAGAUCUCUACCUCAAUAAAUCUUACUCCAUGAUUUAAUUUGAAAUUAAU